AUGCUUCCGUAGGUGAACCUGCGGAAGGAUCAUUA
rnacentral:rRNA from 1 species